rnacentral:rRNA from 1 species
UACGGAGGGUGCAAGCGUUGUUCGGAAUUACUGGGCGUAAAGAGCGCGUAGGCGGUUUUAUAAGUCAGACGUGAAAGCCCUGGGCUUAACCCAGGAUGUGCGUUUGAAACUGUGGAGCUAGAGUAUCAGAGAGGUGAGUGGAAUUCCUAGUGUAGAGGUGAAAUUCGUAGAUAUUAGGAGGAACAUCAGUGGCGAAGGCGGCUCACUGGCUGGUAACUGACGCUGAGGCGCGAAAGCGUGGGGAGCAAACAGG